GCAGUAGCCGCGGUAAUACAGAGGGUGCAAGCGUUAAUCGGAUUUACUGGGCGUAAAGGGCGCGUAGGUGGUUAUUUAAGUGAGAUGUGAAAUCCCCGGGCUUAACCUGGGAACUGCAUCUUAUACUGGGUAACUGGAGUGCAGUAGAGGGUAGUGGAAUUUCCGGUGUAGCGGUGAAAUGCGUAGAUAUCGGAAGGAACACCAGUGGCGAAGGCGGCUACCUGGACUGAGACUGACACUGAGGCGCGAGAGCGUGGGGAGCAAACAGGAUUAGAUACCCGCGUAGUCCCUGUCUCUUAUAA
rnacentral:rRNA from 1 species